rnacentral:misc_RNA from 1 species
AAAAACCUAUCAUUCAAGGUACAACUGGGGCUGAGGUUGUAUGGGGCUGUUAGUAGUUUUUUCAAGUAUCAUCGGUGGGUAAAUCCUGUUUUAGGAUCCGGCGGAAGGAAAAAUGUGCAAAAAGAGUGGAGUCUUUCAUGUCUCUAGAAUUCCCUGUUGGAGUUUGUGCUCCUCUAGAUAGUAUUAGAAUUUAGAACUCAUUGUUACCGCGUUCAAUUUAAAAAGUUUUCUUAUUGUGGUAAAUCGGAAAGGCGCAUCUAUUCUACGGGAAACACGUUCUUAUUCAGUCAUAAAAUACAAUCAUUGAGUUCUACUGAGCUCAAUAAUUUAACCUCAUGUAAGGGGAUGUGUAUUUUUUAUGCUUAAAAAUCAAAUGGAAAAACCUAAAACUUUAAAACAAGUAGUGAAACGUGACCGUUAGCCUGAGGAAAUAGUAUGGAAAAAGAUUGUGACAGUCCGUGUAAUUUCCAAAUGGUCAAUGUAGCCUCCAUAACUUCUCAAAAAAUUUCUUUCAAAAAUAUAUCAAUGUACACUGUUUAUCUCCCUUCAAGAGUCCAAGUGAAUACUGAGCACUACUUAUACCUUUUUUUGGAUGCAGCUGCCGAGAUUGGAGGAUACGUUGGAAUACUUCUUGGAGUAUCCUUUUAUGAUUUGGCAUUGAAAAUAAAAAAAUCAGC